rnacentral:rRNA from 1 species
UACGUAGGGUGCGAGCGUUAAUCGGAAUUACUGGGCGUAAAGCGUGCGCAGGCGGCUUUGCAAGACAGAUGUGAAAUCCCCGGGCUCAACCUGGGAACUGCAUUUGUGACUGCAAGGCUAGAGUACGGCAGAGGGGAGUGGAAUUCCGCGUGUAGCAGUGAAAUGCGUAGAUAUGCGGAGGAACACCGAUGGCGAAGGCAGCUCCCUGGACCUGUACUGACGCUCAUGCACGAAAGCGUGGGGAGCAAACAGG